rnacentral:lncRNA from 1 species
GUCCGAUGCCUUUGCUGAUUUUUUUUUUUUUCCCUUCUUUCCCACCCCCAGAAUGACAAGCUGUGGGGCAAUUUUUGCUCUCAGGGCCUGGGCAUUUCCCUUUCACUGGCUCAGCAGGGAUCAACAAGAAGAGGCCAAGUCUGCUUUCCUGUAGCACUAGAGCUUGUUCAUCAUGGCUGUGCCUUCCAUCAUUCUUUGCAGUGGCAGUGGGGACUGUUCUACUUGCAGGAAUGUUGGGACUAAUCAUGUGAGAAAAGAUCCUGGAGUGAUGAGGCAGCAUAUUUCCCAUGUCUGAGGUCAGGAUUUGUUCUGUGAAGCUGACCUUUAAAACAGCCUGAAAAUGAGGAACGUGGCACCAGAGAGCAGAGCAGGAAGCAUGAAAUUAUGUAAGAUAUGUUUCUUCUGCAUAUGAAAUACAUUUUUUUUAAAGCUCCAGGUUUGUGAUUCAGCAUUUUCUGCUACUGAGAGAUACAAGAAAGGGGAAAAUUCUGUAGCAAAAAAAGAAAGUCCCUAUUGUUCUAAUCAAAACCUAAUAAAAUAUUAGCCAUCA